GCCAGGCGUGGUGGCACAUGCCUGUAAUCCCAGCUACUCGGGAGGCUGAGGCAGGAGGAUUGCUUGAACCCAGGAGGUGAAGGCUGCAGUGAGCUGAGUUUGCGCCACUGCACUCCAGCCUGGGUAACAGAGCAAGACUCUGUCUCAA
ensembl:misc_RNA Metazoa_SRP Metazoan signal recognition particle RNA